rfam:Arabis alpina cultivar Pajares chromosome 6, whole genome shotgun sequence.
GUUUAGGUGGUUGAUGCCUGGCUCGAGACCAUUCUUCCAUAUGGUCAUGGUAAUGCUGAUUAUGAUUUCGGACCAGGCUUCAUCCCCCUUAAC